rnacentral:rRNA from 1 species
UCGAGCGCACCUUCGGGUGAGCGGCGGACGGGUUAGUAACGCGUGGGAACAUACCCUUUGGUACGGAAUAGCCUCUGGAAACGGAGAGUAAUACCGUAUGAGCCCUUCGGGGGAAAGAUUUAUCGCCAAAGGAUUGGCCCGCGUUAGAUUAGGUAGUUGGUGGGGUAAUGGCCUACCAAGCCUACGAUCUAUAGCUGGUUUUAGAGGAUGAUCAGCAACACUGGGACUGAGACACGGCCCAGACUCCUACGGGAGGCAGCAGUGGGGAAUCUUGGACAAUGGGGGCAACCCUGAUCCAGCCAUGCCGCGUGAGUGAUGAAGGCCUUAGGGUCGUAAAGCUCUUUCGCCUGUGAAGAUAAUGACGGUAGCAGGUAAAGAAACCCCGGCUAACUCCGUGCCAGCAGCCGCGGUAAUACGGAGGGGGUUAGCGUUGUUCGGAAUUACUGGGCGUAAAGCGCACGUAGGCGGACUGGAAAGUUGGGGGUGAAAUCCCAGGGCUCAACCCUGGAACUGCCUCCAAAACUAUCAGUCUAGAGUUCGAGAGAGGUGAGUGGAAUUCCGAGUGUAGAGGUGAAAUUCGUAGAUAUUCGGAGGAACACCAGUGGCGAAGGCGGCUCACUGGCUCGAUACUGACGCUGAGGUGCGAAAGUGUGGGGAGCAAACAGGAUUA